AUUGAACGCUGGCGGCAUGCUUUACACAUGCAAGUCGAACGGUAACAGGGAGCUUGCUCCGCUGACGAGUGGCGAACGGGUGAGUAAUGCGUCGGAACGUGCCGAGUAGUGGGGGAUAACGCAUCGAAAGGUGUGCUAAUACCGCAUACGUACUGAGGUAGAAAGUGGGGGACCUUCGGUCCUAACGCUAUUCGAGCGGCCGACGUCUGAUUAGCUAGUUGGUGAGGUAAAGUCUCACCAAGGCGACGAUCAGUAGCGGGUCUGAGAGGAUGAUCCAGAACACUGGGACUGAGACAGGGCCGAGACUCCUACAGGAGGCAGCAGUGGGGAAUUAUGGACAAUGGGCGCGAGCCGGAUUCAGCCAUGCCGCGUGUCUGAAGAAGGCCUUCGGGUUGUAAAGGACUUUUGUCCGGGAGCAAAUGCUGGUGGCUAACAUCCACAGGAGCUGAGAGUACCGGAAGAAUAAGCACCGGCUAACUACGUGCCAGCCGCCGCGGUAAAAC
rnacentral:rRNA from 1 species